rnacentral:rRNA from 1 species
GACGAACGCUGGCGGCGUGCCUAAUACAUGCAAGUUGAGCGCUGAAGGUUGGUACUUGUACCAACUGGAUGAGCAGCGAACGGGUGAGUAACGCGUGGGGAAUCUGCCUUUGAGCGGGGGACAACAUUUGGAAACGAAUGCUAAUACCGCAUAAAAACUUUAAACACAAGUUUUAAGUUUGAAAGAUGCAAUUGCAUCACUCAAAGAUGAUCCCGCGUUGUAUUAGCUAGUUGGUGAGGUAAAGGCUCACCAAGGCGAUGAUACAUAGCCGACCUGAGAGGGUGAUCCGCCAAAUUGGGAAUGAGAAACGGCCCAAAAUCCUAAGGGAGGCAGCAGUAGGGAAUCUUCGGCAAUGGACGAAAGUCUGACCGAGGAACGCCGGGUGAGGGAAGAAGGGUUUCGGAUCGUAAAACUCUGUUGGUAGAGAAGAAAGUUGGGGAGAGUGGAAAGCUCAUCAAGUGACGGUAACUACCCAGAAAGGGACGGCUAACUACGUG